rnacentral:tRNA from 1 species
GGUAUGGCUCUGUUGUAGAGCACAUGCUUACCAUGUAUGAGGCCUUGGGUUUAAUUCCCAGCACC